UGGGCUAUCGCCAAGCGGCAAGGCACAGGACUUUGACUCCUGCAUUCGUUGGUUCAAAUCCAACUAGCCCAG
rnacentral:tRNA from 1 species